UUAAGCGACUAAGCGUACACGGUGGAUGCCCUGGCAGUCAGAGGCGAUGAAGGGCGUGCUAAUCUGCGAUAAGCGCCGGUAAGGUGAUAUGAACCGUUAUAACCGGCGAUACCCGAAUGGGGAAACCCAGUGUGAUUCGUCACACUAUCAUUAACUGAAUCCAUAGGUUAAUGAGGCGAACCGGGGGAACUGAAACAUCUAAGUACCCCGAGGAAAAGAAAUCAACCGAGAUUCCCCCAGUAGCGGCGAGCGAACGGGGAGGAGCCCAGAGCCUGAAUCAGCAUGUGUGUUAGUGGAAGCGUCUGGAAAGGCGCGCGAUACAGGGUGACAGCCCCGUACACAAAAGCGCAUGUGCUGUGAGCUCGAUGAGUAGGGCGGGACACGUGGUAUCCUGUCUGAAUAUGGGGGGACCAUCCUCCAAGGCUAAAUACUCCUGACUGACCGAUAGUGAACCAGUACCGUGAGGGAAAGGCGAAAAGAACCCCGGCGAGGGGAGUGAAAAAGAACCUGAAACCGUGUACGUACAAGCAGUGGGAGCACAGGUUUACCUGUGUGACUGCGUACCUUUUGUAUAAUGGGUCAGCGACUUAUAUUCUGUAGCAAGGUUAACCGAAUAGGGGAGCCGGAGGGAAACCGAGUCUUAAUUGGGCGUUAAGUUGCAGGGUAUAGACCCGAAACCCGGUGAUCUAGCCAUGGGCAGGUUGAAGGUUGGGUAACACUAACUGGAGGACCGAACCGACUAAUGUUGAAAAAUUAGCGGAUGACCUGUGGCUGGGGGUGAAAGGCCAAUCAAACCGGGAGAUAGCUGGUUCUCCCCGAAAGCUAUUUAGGUAGCGCCUCGUGAAUUCAUCUCCGGGGGUAGAGCACUGUUUCGGCUAGGGGGCCAUCCCGGCUUACCAACCCGAUGCAAACUGCGAAUACCGGAGAAUGUUAUCACGGGAGACACACGGCGGGUGCUAACGUCCGUCGUGAAGAGGGAAACAACCCAGACCGCCAGCUAAGGUCCCAAAGUCAUGGUUAAGUGGGAAACGAUGUGGGAAGGCCCAGACAGCCAGGAUGUUGGCUUAGAAGCAGCCAUCAUUUAAAGAAAGCGUAAUAGCUCACUGGUCGAGUCGGCCUGCGCGGAAGAUGUAACGGGGCUAAACCAUGCACCGAAGCUGCGGCAGCGACACUGUGUGUUGUUGGGUAGGGGAGCGUUCUGUAAGCCUGUGAAGGUGUGUCGUGAGGCAUGCUGGAGGUAUCAGAAGUGCGAAUGCUGACAUAAGUAACGAUAAAGCGGGUGAAAAGCCCGCUCGCCGGAAGACCAAGGGUUCCUGUCCAACGUUAAUCGGGGCAGGGUGAGUCGACCCCUAAGGCGAGGCCGAAAGGCGUAGUCGAUGGGAAACGGGUUAAUAUUCCCGUACUUGGUGUUACUGCGAAGGGGGGACGGAGAAGGCUAUGUUGGCCGGGCGACGGUUGUCCCGGUUUAAGCGUGUAGGUGUGUGUUCCAGGUAAAUCCGGUUCACUUUAACACUGAGGCGUGACGACGAGGCACUACGGUGCUGAAGCAACAAAUGCCCUGCUUCCAGGAAAAGCCUCUAAGCAUCAGGUAACAUCAAAUCGUACCCCAAACCGACACAGGUGGUCAGGUAGAGAAUACCAAGGCGCUUGAGAGAACUCGGGUGAAGGAACUAGGCAAAAUGGUGCCGUAACUUCGGGAGAAGGCACGCUGACACGUAGGUGAAGUGAUUUACUCAUGGAGCUGAAGUCAGUCGAAGAUACCAGCUGGCUGCAACUGUUUAUUAAAAAACACAGCACUGUGCAAACACGAAAGUGGACGUAUACGGUGUGACGCCUGCCCGGUGCCGGAAGGUUAAUUGAUGGGGUCAGCGCAAGCGAAGCUCCUGAUCGAAGCCCCGGUAAACGGCGGCCGUAACUAUAACGGUCCUAAGGUAGCGAAAUUCCUUGUCGGGUAAGUUCCGACCUGCACGAAUGGCGUAAUGAUGGCCAGGCUGUCUCCACCCGAGACUCAGUGAAAUUGAACUCGCUGUGAAGAUGCAGUGUACCCGCGGCAAGACGGAAAGACCCCGUGAACCUUUACUAUAGCUUGACACUGAACAUUGAGCCUUGAUGUGUAGGAUAGGUGGGAGGCUUUGAAGUGUGGACGCCAGUCUGCAUGGAGCCGACCUUGAAAUACCACCCUUUAAUGUUUGAUGUUCUAACGUGGACCCGUUACCCGGGUUGCGGACAGUGUCUGGUGGGUAGUUUGACUGGGGCGGUCUCCUCCUAAAGAGUAACGGAGGAGCACGAAGGUUGGCUAAUCCUGGUCGGACAUCAGGAGGUUAGUGCAAUGGCAUAAGCCAGCUUGACUGCGAGCGUGACGGCGCGAGCAGGUGCGAAAGCAGGUCAUAGUGAUCCGGUGGUUCUGAAUGGAAGGGCCAUCGCUCAACGGAUAAAAGGUACUCCGGGGAUAACAGGCUGAUACCGCCCAAGAGUUCAUAUCGACGGCGGUGUUUGGCACCUCGAUGUCGGCUCAUCACAUCCUGGGGCUGAAGUAGGUCCCAAGGGUAUGGCUGUUCGCCAUUUAAAGUGGUACGCGAGCUGGGUUUAGAACGUCGUGAGACAGUUCGGUCCCUAUCUGCCGUGGGCGCUGGAGAACUGAGGGGGGCUGCUCCUAGUACGAGAGGACCGGAGUGGACGCAUCACUGGUGUUCGGGUUGUCAUGCCAAUGGCACUGCCCGGUAGCUAAAUGCGGAAGAGAUAAGUGCUGAAAGCAUCUAAGCACGAAACUUGCCCCGAGAUGAGUUCUCCCUGAGACUUAGAGUCUCCUGAAGGAACGUUGAAGACGACGACGUUGAUAGGCCGGGUGUGUAAGCGCAGCGAUGCGUUGAGCUAACCGGUACUAAUGAACCGUGAGGCUUAACCUU
rnacentral:rRNA from 1 species